AUUGAACGCUGGCGGCAUGCCUUACACAUGCAAGUCGAACGGCAGCACGGGAGCAAUCCUGGUGGCGAGUGGCGAACGGGUGAGUAAUACAUCGGAACGUGUCCUGUAGUGGGGGAUAGCCCGGCGAAAGCCGGAUUAAUACCGCAUACGCUCUACGGAGGAAAGGGGGGGAUCUUCGGACCUCCCGCUACAGGGGCGGCCGAUGGCAGAUUAGCUAGUUGGUGGGGUAAAGGCCUACCAAGGCGACGAUCUGUAGCUGGUCUGAGAGGACGACCAGCCACACUGGGACUGAGACACGGCCCAGACUCCUACGGGAGGCAGCAGUGGGGAAUUUUGGACAAUGGGGGCAACCCUGAUCCAGCAAUGCCGCGUGUGUGAAGAAGGCCUUCGGGUUGUAAAGCACUUUUGUCCGGAAAGAAAACCUCGGGGCUAAUACCUCUGGGGGAUGACGGUACCGGAAGAAUAAGCACCGGCUAACUACGUGC
rnacentral:rRNA from 1 species